AGGAGAGAAGAGGAGUAGCCAGAGGCGGAGGGGCGGGGGCGGGGAGAAGAAACAUGGCAGGAGAAAGGGGAGGAGCCAGAGGCGAAGAGACAGGAAGAGGGACGCGUCAGGGAGAAGGGGAGGAGUCAGAGGCGAGCGGGCGUGGAGGAGGGAAGCGGCAGGGAGAAGGGGCGGGGCCAGAGGCGAAGGGGCGGGGAGGAGGGACGCGGCAGGGAGAAGGGGAGGAGCCAGAGGCGGAGGCUGUUACCAACUGGCUACCUAGAUCCAAAUAUAAAAAAAAUCCGAGUCAGAGAAAUCAUCACGAUGAAGUCAGAGGCGAGAAACUGUCAGUGUAUACAGAGUCUUGCUCUGUCGCCCAGGUUGAAGUGCAGUGGUUCGAUCUCGGCUCAAUGCAACCUCUACCUCCCUGGCUCCCGCGAUUCUCCUGCCUCAGCCUCCUGAGUAGCUGAGAUUACAGGCGCCCGCCACCACCCCCGGCUAAUUUUGGUAUUUUUAGUAGAGAUGGGGUUUCACCAUGUUGGCCAGGCUGAUCUGGAACUCCUAGCCUCAAGCAAUCCGCCUUCAAAAGUGUUGGGGAUUACAGGAGUGAGCCACCGCGCCCGGCCUAUCAAUGAAUAAGAAAACUUUUAAAGAACCACAGGAUAGUAUUGGAGGUCAAGUCAAGUAUGUUCCUCUUGGAAAUUUAGUAACAAACUACAUGUUGCUAUCUCAUAAUAGCAGCUAACAUUUAUGAAGUAUUCAUUGUCAUGAGGCACCGUACAUAGAUUUCUAAUUUAAUCCUUACAACGAUUUUAUUAGGGAGAAACUGCUAUUAGACCCAUUUUGUAAAUGAGAAAACUAAGGCACACAAAGUUUAAUGAGGGAACCAGGAUUAAACCUAAGCAAUCUAACUCCAGGUCCCAGAUUUUUUAACCAUUACAGUACUGUUUAAUUUGAUUUGAUAUGUUAAAAGGAUUAAUAAAAUUAAUACAGGUCCAUUCCCUUAUUCAUAAAUGUUCAUUGUCUUCAUUUAUUUCUUUAUACUGUUCUGCUGAAAUUGCACUCUCAUCUCCCCAAUAACUUUGUAAUAUCCAAUGCCAUUUUUUUCAGUCAUCCCAUUUUAAAAUAUAUUUUUACUAGAAUAGUGAAAUAUAUAUUCAGAUAAAAUUGGCUUUGUUUUAAUAAUGAUCAGUAAAAGUAAAUUCAUUUUAAUCAUUUCCACACAUUCAUGAAAAGUAAAGGGGAAAAAUGGGCAUAGAGGUAACCACUAGAAUUAGGCUUUCUUGGAUGGGUAGACCAGGUGUGGAGGUGUGCAGAUAAGAUUUUACAAACACUCAUACACUCCCAUCUCCAAAAUCAUAAUUUAUCUUACAUUCUGCUACUAAUAAACAUUCCACUGGUUUUAAACAUUCACUUUGCUGGGUCUCCUCUUUAAAAUUUGUCAUUCACUGUUCUCAAUGUUAGAGACGGUAUGCAAACAGUAGGUUUAGGAAUAGAGUCAGGAGAUGGGGGAAGAAAAACUGGUAGGAGAGAACUUAAGUGUCUCACAGUGUUAAAUGUGACUUGAUAGCCACUAUUCAUUUUUUUUUGUAGUUUGCUGUGAGGAUGACUUUAUACAAUUUAAUCUUAAAUAGGAACCUAACUUAGUUAGGCUUCCUUGGGUAGUCUGUGGAGCAUGGAAAAGUUAUUAGCAUGUCAAAAUCCUGUCCACGCACACAUACACGCACAUACA
rnacentral:lncRNA from 1 species